GAUAAACGCUGGCGGCGUGCCUAAAACAUGCAAGUCGAACGGCUUAUGCCUUCGGGUAUAGGUAGUGGCGGACGGCUGAGUAACACGUGGGUGACCUGCCCUCGAGCGGGGGAGUAACUGCCGAACGGGUAGGCUAAUACCGCAGACAUCAUGGAUUCGGUUCCAUGAUUGAACCUCUGGGGUUCGGAGGAGGGGCCGUGCGCCCGAUUAGCUAGCUGGUGGGGUAACGGCCUACCAGGGCGAUCGAUCGGUAGCUGGUCUGAGAGGAUGAUCAGCCAGACUGGGAC
rnacentral:rRNA from 1 species